rnacentral:lncRNA from 1 species
GGAACGAGAUGUACAGUGAAAGUGUGCUGACAUCACAGCCAUUAUUGAAUGAUAAAGUAAAUAGCUGGUUGUACUAAUGUGCAGACUUGACAGCACUGAGAAACAUGAACUUCCAUAUGGAAAAUAUGGAAACGGAAGUCGACAGAUUCACAUAACGAUCUGAGUCAGUGUUGUUUCUGCUUGAGCAAACAAUUUUGAUUUAAAGGGAGAAGAUGACUGAGCAAAUCAUGAAGAGGUCUGGUGCCUCAGGUCUCUGUGGCUGCAAUUGUGGCCAUCUUGUGUAACCUGUAACUGCUUCCUCUGAGCCCUGUCUGUGAGAAGAAUCCAAAAUGAGUAACUUCAGUUUAAAAAUCUGUGGAUGUCUUUGGUGCUGGUGAAUAGACAGCAGCCUACACUGUCAGCUCUAAAGAAACAAGCCCAUUUCUCUGGAAGGCGCUCUGUUCUGCUUUGGCUGCUUUCAGCACUGGUUUUAUGGGGCAUCAGCACUGAAGUAUUCCCACUGCUGCCUGAGAGAAACUUGUGUCCCAGUUUGAGUGUCUUGAGUGAUUGGAGAUUUAGCUCUGAGCUAGAGAUACUCUCUGCCAUUGAAAAGUAGGGCUGUAAUUCAUGACAUGACUGUUAAUUUACCUAUUCCCAGAGGAACAGUGAACAUUCCAACUGUCACUGCAAACUGACCUUUGAGGCAUGAACAAAUAAGGAUUUAGAAAGUAAUUGGUGACAAAAUACUGGCAAUUUGUUAAUCUCUGUAGAAAAUAAAGAGGAUAGCAGUUAGGGCA